rnacentral:rRNA from 1 species
AGAGUUUGAUCAUGGCUCAGAACGAACGCUGGCGGCAGGCCUAACACAUGCAAGUCGAGCGCCCCGCAAGGGGAGCGGCGGACGGGUGAGUAACACGUGGGAAUUUUCCUCAAGGUACGGAACAACUCAGGGAAACUUGGGCUAAUACCGUAUGAUGCAGAGAUGCCAAAGAUUUAUCGCCUUGGGAUAAGCCCGCGUCAGAUUAGGUAGUUGGUGGGGUAAUGGCCUACCAAGCCUGUGAUCUGUAGCUGGUCUGAGAGGACGAUCAGCCACAUUGGGACUGAGACACGGCCCAAACUCCUACGGGAGGCAGCAGUGGGGAAUCUUGCGCAAUGGGCGAAAGCCUGACGCAGCCAUGCCGCGUGAAUGAUGAAGGUCUUAGGAUUGUAAAGUUCUUUCGCCCGUGACGAUGAUGACGGUAACGGGAGAAGAAGCCCCGGCUAACUUCGAGCCAGCAGCCGCGGUAAUACGAAGGGGGCUAGCGUUGUUCGGAAUUACUGGGCGUAAAGCGCGCGUAGGCGGUUUUGCAAGCCAGAGGUGAAAUGCCCGAGCUCAACUUGGGAAUUGCCUUUGGGACUGUGAGGCUAUGAGGACGAGAGAGGUGAGUGGAAUUCCCAGUGUAGAGGUGAAAUUCGUAGAUAUUGGGAAGAACACCGGUGGCGAAGGCGGCUCACUGGCUCGUUUCUGACGCUAAAGCGCGAAAGCGUGGGGAUCAAACAGGAUUAGAUACCCUGGUAGUCCACGCUGUAAACGAUGAGUGCUAGGCGUCGGCAGGCUUGCCUGUCGGUGCCGCAGCUAAC